rnacentral:SRP_RNA from 1 species
GCCAGGCAUGGUAGCGCGUGCCUGUAAUCCUAGCUACUUGGGAGGCUGAGGCAGAAGAAUUGCUUGAACCCGGGAGGCGGAGGUUGCAGUGAGCCGAGAUCGCACCACUGCACUCCAGCCUGGGAGACAGAGCAAGACUCUGUCUCGG